rnacentral:lncRNA from 1 species
UACUUCCCUCCUUCAGUUCCUAUUUGAGGAAACUGAGGCUAUGAGCAUCUGUCCCAAAUACACAGAAUUAGUCCUGGGCUUGGACCCAAGUCCUGCAGUAGCAGCCACUACCUCUGACAGGCAGAUCUGUCCUCAAAACAAAGCAGGGCUCUCAUCACGGAGCUGGGACAGCCUGCCUGCCUGGUUGAGAGGCAGAAAUGGCUUCAUGGGAGCUCAGCACAUGCUUGUUCCCUCAGCCAUGUGACUUUGGGAAACUCACCAAAACCUCUCUGGGCCUCACUGGCUCAUUUGUCAAGAGGCGAUGCUAACCUGUGCCGUCUGCAUCGCGGGGUUCUGUGAGGGCCUGCUGAGAGGUGAAACGGACGGGAGAAAGGCUUCGGGGGAGUCAGGAGCGAGUGGGAUGGUCCUUCAUAAAGGUUCUACUGACAUGUUACUACAGAAGCAGAAGCCCAGGAGACAGAAAGCAGACAGGCUACAAUCCCGUCCGGGAGCCCUGCUCUGGAACCAGGACCUGCCCCUGCACGGGGUCCAAGCGAGGCCCACGGUCCACAGAGCCAGACCCUGCCCCGAACCGAUGGCCAAUCCUAGAAGACAAAAGACAGAGAGAUGGUCUUCCUGAACCAGGAACCCCAGAGAAAAUUUCCAAGAGGAGAUAUCCUAACUGGAGGAUGGUCCAGACAGCUUGGUUUGCACAACACAGCAGAAAUACAGCAGCGAUAGAGUGUGAACAUCAUUAUCCUCCAUUUUAUCACUGAGAAAGCCGAGUCUCCAAAAGCAUGUGAAUGAAAAGCACAGCCUCUGUGCCUGCUGGCAGCCAUCUUGUGACCAUGAGGGAAAGCAGUGUGAGGACGGUGCUGGCCAACAGGAAGACAGAGCCAAGGGAAUCACAGAGACACGGAGCUGGAGCCCUGACUGCACCACAUCUGAAGGCUCUCCACAUUUAACCUUCCAGUUAUGGGAAACCAAUAAAC